AUUGAACGCUGGCGGCAGGCUUAACACAUGCAAGUCGAACGAUGAAGAUAUAGCUUGCUAUAUUGGAUUAGUGGCGGACGGGUGAGUAACACUUAGGAAUCUACCUUUUAGCGGGGGAUAGCUCGGGGAAACUCGAAUUAAUACCGCAUAAUUUCUACGGAAUAAAGAGGGCUUCUAGCUCUCACUAGAAGAUGAGCCUAAGUAAGAUUAGCUAGUUGGUGGGGUAAAAGCCUACCAAGGCGACGAUCUUUAGCUGGUCUGAGAGGAUGAUCAGCCACACUGGGACUGAGACACGGCCCAGACUCCUACGGGAGGCAGCAGUGGGGAAUAUUGGACAAUGGGGGCAACCCUGAUCCAGCCAUGCCGCGUGUGUGAAGAAGGCCUUUUGGUUGUAAAGCACUUUAAGCAGUGAAGAAGACCUAUUGGUUAAUACCCAAUAGCGAUGACAUUAACUGCAGAAUAAGCACCGGCUAACUCUGUGCCAGCAGCCGCGGUAAUACAGAGGGUGCAAGCGUUAAUCGGAAUUACUGGGCGUAAAGCGAGCGUAGGUGGUUAAAUAAGUCAGAUGUGAAAGCCCUGGGCUCAACCUAGGAACGGCAUCUGAAACUAUUUAACUAGAGUAGGUGAGAGGGAAGUAGAAUUUCAGGUGUAGCGGUGAAAUGCGUAGAGAUCUGAAGGAAUACCGAUGGCGAAGCAGCUUCCUGGCAUCAUACUGACACUGAGGCUCGAAAGCGUGGGUAGCAAACAGG
rnacentral:rRNA from 1 species